rnacentral:tRNA from 1 species
AAGGAAGGAUAGAAAUCAACAGAUACUGCUAAUACUUGUGCCCCGAAGUUAAACUCCUCGGCUUCCUUA